rnacentral:lncRNA from 8 species
UGGUUGGCAGGCACCCCCCUCCUAAAGACGCAGGGAUACUGAGAGAGGAGAGAGCUGGGUGUUGAGGAAGAGGGCAGUAGGCAAGAGAGAGUUAGAGAGAGUGAGAGUGGAGUCGUUUUGCUGUGGCUCCUCAGUAAACCCAAGUUAGAGACAGACAGGGCAUUGUAUUGACAGCAGCAUGAUCCUUAUCACAUUUGGACUCUAUCUUCCACUAUUGUUUUGUUAUGUCUUGUCUCAGUCCUCUUUCCUGGACAAUAUUCUCUCAUUCCCAGCAGCUCUCCAACAACAACCUGCCCUGGACCAGCAGAGGACAUUCAACCCCUGCUGUUUACUGAGUCCACCCCCGCCCCCCCUGUUCCCCCCUCCUCCCUCACUGUGGCACCGCAGUGGUCAUAAUGAGGAGUCCAGUAAGGGGGGUAAUCACAGAGAAGAUCCAGAUACAGGGACGGAGCUGAAAGGUCCCAGCUGUGUCCCAGGCCCCCCUGGCCCCAACGGACCCCCCGGUCCUCAGGGUCCAGCUGGGCUACCAGGUCUGAAGGGACCAAAAGGUGAAAAGGUAAGUGUCAUUUAUGAACAGUUUUUUAUAAACAGUUGAAUGAUUGAAAACUGCCAUUAUACGAAGCGGAAAGGCCUUGUAUGAAAAAGCAGCAGUUAUAUCUCUCUCUUUGUCUCUCUUUGUCUCUCUUUGUCUCUCUUUGUCUUUGUCUCUCUCUCUCUCUCUCUCUCUCUCUCUCUCUCUCUCUCUCUCUCUCUCCACCUCCAUCCAACGAUCUUGUUGCCAGGGAGAACUGGGACGACCUGGACAAAAGGUGAGAGCACCCAUUGAUCAUUCUAUUAGCUCUGCUAAGUGGAUUUGCUGAAAAAUGGGAUCCAGUCCCUCCUCAGUCUGUCUGGUGGGCUGUAACUCACGUCCCCGCCGCCCGCCUGUCCGCCCGCCCGCUGCCUGCUUAUGAGCAUUAUGAAAUUCAGAGAAAGACAAGCAGCACAACCUUGACACGAUGCCAGGACAGCUAGGACACAGAGAGAGAAAGACGAGCAGCACAACCUGGACACGAUGCCAGGACAGCUAGGACACAGAGAGAGAAAGACAAGCAGCACAACCUUGACACGAUGCCAGGACAGCUAGAAAACAGAGAGAGAAAGACGAGCAGCACAACCUGGACACGAUGCCAGGACAGCUAGGACACAGAGAGAGAAAGACAAGCAGCACAACCUUGACACGAUGCCAGGACAGCUAGAAAACAGAGAGAGAAAGACGAGCAGCGCAACCUGGACACGAUGCCAGGACAGCUAGGAUACAGAGAGAGAAAGACAAGCAGCACAACCUGGACACGAUGCCAGGACAGCUAGGAAACAGAGAGAGAAAGACAAGCAGCACAACCUGGACACGAUGCCAGGACAGCUAGGACACAGAGAGAGAAAGACAAGCAGCACAACCUGGACACGAUGCCAGGACAGCUAGGACACAGAGAGAGAAAGACAAGCAGCACAACCUGGACACGAUGCCAGGACAGCUAGGAUACAGAGAGAGAAAGACAAGCAGCACAACCUGGACACGAUGCCAGGACAGCUAGGAAACAGAGAGAGAGAGAAAGACAAGCAGCACAACCUGGACACGAUGCCAGGACAGCUAGGACACAGAGAAAGAAAGACAAGCAGCACAACCUGGACACGAUGCCAGGACAGCUAGGAAACAGAGAGAGAGAGAAAGACAAGCAGCACAACCUGGACACGAUGCCAGGACAGCUAGGAUAACAGAGAGAGCCGCUGAGAUAGAAGAUGGAUAGAAUCAUUCUGCUGAGUUGGAGAGGAGAGUGGAUGAACCUCCCAUCCCGUCCCAUGUCUCCUCUAACAGAUGGGGAACUUAUGGUCACCCUGUUAGCUCCUGAAACCUAUCCAGCUUCACCCUUCACCCUUCCUGUUCAGGAGGAUGCAGCGUUACAGCACCUUCACAUAGAGAUGUAUUGCAUAGAAAAUAGAUCAUUGUCGGAGGGACAGGAGAGGAGUGAGACCUGUCAGAAGAGUAGUGUGGUCCUAAUCAAUUGGUGUCUGCAGUUAUGUAUUAAAACAGUUCCGUUGGGAGAGCUUCACACUGCGUCCCAAAUGGCACCCUAUUCCCUUUAUAGUUCAAUACUUUUGACCAGGGCCCAUGGUCAAAAGUAGUGCACUAUAUAGAGAAUAGGGUUCCAUUUGGGACGUGUCCUCAGUCACUGCCCUGCUCUGUCUGAGCUGCAGGGCUGGCUGUGUACAGCAGCAGCAUUGCAGUGCAAUUUGGCUUUGUGCUCGAGCCAGACCAUAAAUCAUUUUAUUUCCCACAAGCAGAGGGCCGUCCUGUUCUAUAUAUACGGCCUAUCAUUUAAUUAAAGAGGACAGAGUGACAGACCUUGUUAAAGUCCUCUCUCUCCACAUGAUGGACCAGGGUAAAAACAGAACACAGGUUGUCAUGUCAACAUCCCGACCGGCUUAUGGAAUUCUCUGUAACUAUUCAGAACAAUCAUGUUUGUAACUCCUGCUGUAUGUUACUUCUAUGAUAUUACACAUGGAAAUAUUAUACUGUACACUACACAGCUUACAUGGAUAGCUGCUGAUUCAUUCAAUAAUGCUUUUGUUUUUUAAAUGAUGCUAGGUCAGCUGGUAAUUUUGUAUAUAUGGCAGUCUUCAUGCCCUGUGUUUUCUAGUCAGUUCAGAACUUCUGGUCUGGUUGAAGUAGUGUUCUAACGGUUCUGAUAUGGCUCAGCUAUUCCCAGACAUACCCUAUGUACCGUACACAUGAGGCUGCUGAGGGGAGGACCAUAGAAACCAUGGAAACCAUGUGUUUGAUGUAUUUGAUACCAUUCCACAAUGUCCGCUCCAACCAUUACCAUGAGUCCGUCCUCCCCAAUUGAGGUGCCACCAACCUCCUGUGGUACUGUGUGAUAACUGUAAAAGUCUGCUAAAUUAGGGAUUCCCAAAGUGGAGCUUCUGCAGGGAGUCUGCGGCAUGAUUCUUAUUUUUUUAACAACAAUAAUAAUACAUUCAUUAAUCAAAUGUUUUUAAAUUAAUAUUGCUAGCAACAACCGAUUAAACACAUUUUGCAGAAGGGAUCUGUGAAAAGUUUUUAGACUAGAGGGUGCAAUACAAUACAAUGUAUUAUUCAACCACAAUUUCUGUUAAACCUCAGACGCACAGCCUGGGACUGGGAGGUUCAUCUGUACAUAGGUAUCCACAGUUCUCCAUCAAUUAUACAUUUCUUUAUCUAAAUUCUUCUUGUAUUCCCCAAAAUGUUGUUUUGAACAUAAUGGCACUGUAAUUUAUGCCUAAAACUGCAACAUUUUGCCAGUCUCCUUGGCAAAAUGGGUAGAACUAAUUUGGUCACCUAUUUUAGUUUUAGUCUUAGACCUAGAUUUAAUCAGAUCAAGUGUUAACAGGCGAUAGCCAACACCUGCAUAGCUGAUGUUUUGGCGGUGUCAGAGGUGUAACUCUGUUCGAGCUGUCACAUCGGUGAGAGGCAGCUGCUCAUGUGGUCAUUUUCACCAAGCCAUUCCACUUGUCAGAAGUUCAGAAUGAGAAAGUGUAGGCUAUAUAGAAACGACACUCAAACAAUAUAAUAAGGAUUUACACUGAGUGGACAAAACAUUACGGAAAAACAUUAUGCUCUUUCCAUAACCUCUACAGGAUUGGUGGGUCCCCCUCGGGAAGGUUGAGCUAACGUAGGCUAAUGCGAUUAGCAUGAGGUUGUAAGUAACAAGAAAAUUUCGCAGGACAUAUACAUAUCUGAUAUUGGCAGAAAGCUUAAAUUGUUGUUAAUCUAACUGCACUGUCCAAUUUACAGUAGCUAUUACAGUGAAAGAAUACCAUGCUAUUGUUUGAAGAGAGUGUUCUUUCCAUAACAUAGACUGACCAGGUGAAUCCAGGUGAAAGUUAUGAUCCCGUAUUGAUGUAAUUUGUUAAAUCCACUUCAGUCAGUGUAGAUGAAGGGGAGGAAACAGGUUAAAGAAGGAUUUUUAAGCCUUGAGACAAUUGGGACAUGGAUUGUGUAUGUGUGCCAUUCAGAGGGUGAAUGGGCAAGACAAAAUAUUUAAGUGCCUUUGAACGGGGUAUGGUAGUAGGUGCCAGGCGCACCAGUUUGUGUCAAGAACUGCAGCGCUGCUGGGUUUUUCAUGCUCAGUUUCCUGUGUGUAUCAAGAAUGGUCAACCACCCCAAAGGACAUCCAGCAACUUGCCACAACUGUGGGAAGCAUUGGAGUCAACAUGGGCCAGCAUCCCUGUGGAAUGCUUUCGACACCUUGUAGACUCCAUGCCCCGACGAAUUGAGGCUGUUCUGUUACAGUUAUCGUUUUUUCCCCCAGGGCGUCUCAUUAUCAUAGCUUUAGUCAGAAAAAAUAAGUUGUCAAGUAUUUUCUGUGAUAGUUAUUGUUGACGAAAUUUACACUGGUACUAGAAUUGCAAGAAAUUAGCUUUAAAAUGGCAAAAUGGCCUCUAUGCCCAAAGGCAAAAUGUGUAGAAUUACAAGUAAUGAGCUUUUCUUCUCUGACGCUAAGAGGGGGGCCUUUAAAGAUGUAUUUCCCAGGGCCCAAGACUUGAAGUCAUAGUAAAAUUGCUUGUAUGCUAUUUAUNNNNNNNNNNNNNNNNNNNNNNNNNNNNNNNNNNNNNNNNNNNNNNNNNNNNNNNNNNNNNNNNNNNNNNNNNNNNNNNNNNNNNNNNNNNNNNNNNNNNUCCAGCUCUGUGACUCACUACAGGGAGAGGAAAUGUGAAGUGUUUGGAAGUCUGUUUGUGAGUAAUCGUUGUGGUUUGCUGGGUCAUAUCCACAUCCUUGGACACUUCACUGUGCUUCUCUCACUCUCACUUUUUCCACCAACCAGCCACCUACACACCACUUAAAGAGAUUCCCUCACAGCAUAGCCCUUUGAUAAGGCGGAGGAGAGUCUAACAGCAGCCUCUAGACCAGAGGGCCACAUCAGGAUUUUGAAAUUCAAUGGAAGGCCGCACAGAUUUUUUCCUUCACAGAGUUGUUUGUCAAAAUCAUGUUUGUCAAAAACCAGAAAAAAAAGGAAGUUAUGUGAUAAUAUAUAUGUCCAAAAUAAGAAUUUUCACACAAAAAACUCAACUGAAUGAAAAAAUGGGCUCGCGGGCCAGACAGGUUUUGCUGAGGUAUCAACCUCGACUCUCUGUUCCCCUGUUAACGUUAGAACCAGAG